rnacentral:rRNA from 1 species
AUUGAACGCUGGCGGCAUGCUUUACACAUGCAAGUCGAGCGGCAGCGCGGGGGCAACCCUGGCGGCGAGCGGCGAACGGGUGAGUAAUGCAUCGGAACGUAUCCUCGAGUGGGGGAUAACCCAGCGAAAGUUGGGCUAAUACCGCAUGAGCUCUGAGGAGGAAAGCGGGGGACCUGCGAGGGCCUCGCGCUGGAGGAGCGGCCGAUGUCCGAUUAGCUAGUUGGUGGGGUAAAGGCUUACCAAGGCGACGAUCGGUAGCUGGUCUGAGAGGAUGAUCAGCCACACUGGGACGGAGACACGGCCCAGCCUCCUACGGGAGGCAGCAGUGGGGAAUUUUGGGCAAGGGGGCAACCCUGAUCCAGCCAUGCCGCGUGAGUGAAGAAGGCCUUCGGGUUGUAAAGCUCUUUCGGACGGAACGAAAUGGGCGGGACUAAUACUCCUGUCUGAUGACGGUACCGUAAGAAGAAGCACCGGCUAACUACGUG